rnacentral:rRNA from 1 species
GACGUAGGGUGCAAGCGUUGUCCGGAUUUAUUGGGCGUAAAGAGCUCGUAGGCGGCUCGUCGCGUCGACUGUGAAAACCCGAGGCUCAACCUCGGGCCUGCAGUGGGUACGGGCAGACUAGAGUGCGGUAGGGGAGAAUGGAAUUCCUGGUGUAGCGGUGGAAUGCGCAGAUAUCAGGAGGAACACCGAUGGCGAAGGCAGUUCUCUGGGCCGUAACUGACGCUGAGGAGCGAAAGCGUGGGGAGCGAACAGG